CAAAAUUUGGUCCAAACUUCAUUAAUCAUUCUCUGGGCUUCCAUAAAAAAUCAUUAUGUAUUAUUCUCUAGCAACAAUUCCUCCAAAAUCAACAUUGUCCGGCAGCAACACGAAAUGAUCUGGAUUCGUAUUCAAUACCAGUAGGCACCACAAUAACCCCAACUCUAUUGUCUCCGUUGCGGUCAACUAAAUGAUAAAAAAUUCAUUGUGUAGGAAAUAUAAUAAGAGAAAUUUCAAUCCUAUAUUGUAAAUGAGCAAGAAAAGGUGCGAGCAAAUCCUAGAGAUUUCUUGCAAUUUGAAGACUCCAAAGACCACAGUUGCGUGGGAUAUCCUACAUAAACAUUUACAAUAAUGACUUACUAUGGAUUUGUCAGUUUAUACACACCUCUAUUAUAAAAUCUUGAAUAUCAAUCCUUUUCUUCAAUUUGUGAAACAAUCCAAUUCCAACGACAUUAUUUUAGAUAGAAAGAGAAAGGCAGAGUCUUGACAAAGAAAACCUCCUUGUCAAUAGCAUUUAAAUGCAUAAACAAGUAUAUCUAAAAGGGUUAAUAAAAAAAAACAAAAUUCAAACAGCUUACUUAACAUGAUAUGUAAAAUUUCUUUUUUGAAUUUGAUUCAGAGGAAUCUUUUCUUCUUUUGGGUACCUAGAUCAAGAGUGACGAGCACAGGGUAUGCAUAUAACAAUCAAACUCAUUCCACAGUUAAAUUUUACAUUUAUAAAAUUCUAAAUAUCCCACACGCAAUUUUAUGCAAGCAUACGGGGUGAGAUUGAGUAUAGAGUUUUAAGAGUCAAACCUACAAGGAAGAUUGUGAAUUACCGACACUACUAAAAUUUCUUUAUUAUUGGACAAUCAACAAAUUAAAGGAAACAAAAGUAAGUUAAAUUUUGUAAGAAAAUAGCAAAUAAAACCUCCUUAGGUCAUAAUAUCCCUCACUACUUAUGCAAGUGUAAUUUUUGGAUCAUUGAGUACUACUAUCUUGCCUAACUAUGGCGUAAAUACAUAUGAAACAUAUUCUCAUAGUAAAUCAACUAUAGUUAUAACGAAUUCAUACCUACUCUCGUAGUUAUGAAAUUAGUUACAAGUUCAUUACCUCUACGAAAUUACAUGAAAUAAAUCACUAUAACCACAAAGGUGCAUAUCUACUCUCGCAAGUGUACUCCCUAAGUUUAACACUUCUUGAACUAGUGUUAAAUCCCAAUUUUCAUUGAAGAAUCAACACCUUUAGAUAAUCACAAUUAAUGGUACCAAAUAAAUCAUGAUUUAAGGAGCAAAAGUGCUAAAUAAUUUGUUCAAAUUAAUAGUAUCAAUUAGCCAAGAAAUUAACACAAGUUCAACCAAAACCCAAGACAUAAACUUUAGAAACACAUAAUAAAUAUAAAAUCCAAAACUUACAUAUUAACUAAACUUAGAAUCAAUUACAAAAGAUAAAGAGUUGGAAAGGUAGAGUAACCCUUAUCACAUGAGCUCUCUCCUUACCUUCUUUAUCCUCCAACUUCAUCUUCAUAUAGUUAACAUACACAAGAAAGGGUGAACUAGCUAAAAAUAGACUAUCCUAUACUACCUAAACUAAAGAGUUAAGAAACUAUAUAUUUGUGUUGUUCCUUCAGUCCCCUCCAAGCUCUCAAAAUGAAGAUACAAGCUCUUAUUUAUAGAGAAAUCUUCAAGUCCUUUACUUGCAUCUUCAAUGUGAACACUACUCCAAAUAAGUCAAUAAUUUGGGC
rnacentral:lncRNA from 1 species